rnacentral:rRNA from 1 species
UACGGGGGGGGCAAGCGUUGUUCGGAAUUACUGGGCAUAAAGCGCACGUAGGCGGUCCGCUAAGUCAUGUGUGAAAUCCCCCCGGCUCAACCGGGGAAUGGCGCCUGAUACUGGCGGACUCGAGAUCGGUAGGGGUGAGUGGAACUCCAGGUGGAGCGGUGAAAUGCGUAGAUAUCUGGAGGAACACCGGUGGCGAAAGCGACUCACUGGACCGACACUACGCUGAGGUGCGAAAGCUAGGGUAGCAAAACGGGG